UUGCUGGUUGAGCCUUGAAACAAAUCUAAUAUGGGCAUUUAUAGGACCGGCAUUGCUUGUAGUUUUGAUUAACGUUGUUAUAUUUGUUAUAAUGGUACAUAAAAUGUUGACUAGUAGGGGAAUAGCUGGAAAAACACUUAAGGAGAAAUCUAAGAUUGGUUUGAAAAGUAUCUGCAUUAUUUUGCCAUUGUUUGGAGUAACAUGGGUACUUGGUGCGGUUUCUGUGAAUGAUGAUUUGGUCAUGUUCCAAUACCUAUUUGCAAUUUUCA